rnacentral:rRNA from 1 species
UACAGAGGUCCCAAGCGUUGUUCGGAUUCAUUGGGCGUAAAGGGUGCGUAGGUGGCGCCGUAAGUCGGGUGUGAAAUUUCGGAGCUCAACUCCGAAACUGCAUUCGAUACUGCGGUGCUUGAGGACUGGAGAGGAGACUGGAAUUCAUGGUGUAGCAGUGAAAUGCGUAGAGAUCAUGAGGAAGACCAGUGGCGAAGGCGGGUCUCUGGGCCGAUAUUGACGCUGAGGAGCGAAAGCGUGGGGAGCGAACAGG